GUGCCAGCAGCCGCGGUAACACGAACUGUGCAAACGUUAUUCGGAAUUACUGGGCUUAAAGGGUUCGUAGGCGGCUUGUCAAGUCGGGUGUGAAAUCCCCCAGCCCAACUGGGGAACUGCGCCCGAAACUGGCGAGCUUGAGGGAGAUAGAGGUGAGCGGAACUGAUGGUGGAGCGGUGAAAUGCGUUGAUAUCAUCAGGAACACCGGUUGCGAAAGCGGCUCACUGGGUCUCUUCUGACGCUGAGGAACGAAAGCUAGGGGAGCAAACGGGAUUAGAAACCCCCGUAGUCC
rnacentral:rRNA from 1 species